rnacentral:tRNA from 1 species
GCCCCUUUGGCCCAAUGGUUAAGGUGUCUCCUUCCUAAGGAGAAGAUUCCUGGUUCAAACCCAGGGAGGGGCU